UGCGUUAAAUUAAUGUGAGUUUAAGCUUGUUUGAAAUGAGCGAAAUUUCCGUGUGUACAAUUACAUCCCCAUCUUACAAUAAAAAUUAGUUAAGAAUGAUCAAAGUGUGAAAUAAAAGUCUCACAUUAUGUCAACAUAUCUUACUUAAAUUUGUAACACAGGCAUUAAACUGUAAAGUAAUGCUAAACUGACUCAAACAUCAAAGAACUGGUUUACUAUAUAACAGGAAUGUUCUAUAUUCCCUGGGCUAAAAGGAUCACCUGAAUAUGAUGUCCAGGGCUGUUUAGUGUCAGAAUUGUACUAUUUACCUAUCUGGUAGUAUAAAAAUAGUAUUGACAACUUACAACUCUUGAUUUCUAAAACUUAGUUCCUUUCUUACGGGAGAGAGAGAACAGUAUUAUCCAUAUGUUAAUAAACUUUGUUUUACUAUUAAUAAAUGUUUAUCUAGGUAAAAUACUACUGUUUUAUUACUAUGGAUCUCUGGGAAACUAACCUUUAUUUUAUAAACAAAACAAAAUUUUUUAACAAAAAUAACUAGAGCAUGAAAUACUUCUCAUGGCAACCAAAAUAUUGGUGACCAAUAAUCAGAUCUAUAACAUGGAGGCUUAUUUAAUUUAAUUUACAAUCAAUAAUUUAGAUUCAUCAAGAAUCACUAUGUUACAAAGCAGAAGAAAAUAUUCCAUGAACAAUGUACAUAAAUGGUGAAUAAAUAAGUUCAACCCUGUCCCAUGUUUAUGUACUUGUCCCAAGAUAUGGAAUUUUGUAAGUGGUUGUCUAUUAGUGUUUUUGUGCAAUAGAAUUGACAACCACCAAUAAACCAUAUCACAGUCAAAUUCUUCUUUUAUGUAUUAAAAGUUUUUCAUUCACAACCAAUUUGGAAUUACAAAUAAAUCUAUGUCCCUAUGACAAUGGACUAAGAAGUCGUAUAUAAAUCUAUUUUUAGAUACACUGUUUCUAAUAUGUUAUAUACAUUCCUUCUUUGUACAUUAUAAUGGUGUUGGAUAAUUACACAAUUCAGUUCUUUAUGUAUCAUUUUGACACAUAUUCAAUAUAUAAGUAUACUGGUCAUUCUAAAAGCAAG
rnacentral:lncRNA from 1 species